rnacentral:lncRNA from 1 species
AUGAAGCCAUGGAGGGCGGUAACUAAUGCAUUAGCAACACAUCAAGCUGAACAAAAAAUAGCUGCUGCUGCAACAGAACGAUUAGGAUCAUCCAGUCAGAAGGGGGGGGCUUCUGCUUCUUCCUCUACUCAGCAAAGAGCUGAGGAACAAGCUUACCCUUCUCCACCAUCAUAUAGAACAGUUAUAAUUCCACAAGGGACUUCGGUACCCAUAUCAGGGGAAGAAGAACCUUCACAGUCACAGCCACCGACAGCUCCGCCUGUACCUCCGCCCGUACAAUCAGAGAAUAAAGAAAGGGUGGGUGAGGAGUCAGGUACAAAUUCAUUCUCAACAAGUCCAUUUAAAAUCAAUAUACAGGACAGGGAGGAGACAUGGAAAAAAAUAGCACAUGAAGCAAUGAAGGAAGGGAAUCUUGAAGUAGCAGCACAAAUAACAACAGCCUAUCCGGUGGUGUAUUCACCUCCAGAUGCACAGGAAUUACUGGGCAUGGGACCAUAUUUUAGAACAGAGGCGCAGGCACUCUUGGGACCAGACAAAGCUAAGGUAUCAAUGAAUCUAGCCAGAAGAGCAUUAGAACAAAUUAGAGAGCCAGGGGGAAUGCCGUCCUACAUGGGAAUUAAACAGGGCAGGGAGGAACCAUUCGGGUUGUUUAUCGAUCGGGUAGCAAAUGCGAUACAAGCAGCGGGAGUUCCUGAUUAUCUUAAAGGCACUAUACUAAAGCAAUGUGCACUCCAAAAUUGUAACCCUUCAACUCGUAGUAUAUUAGCUACGUUACCGAGUACUUGGACAAUAGAGGAAGGAUUGGAAAGAAUGUCUCAGGUACCUGUAGGCCCACAGACUAUGUUAGUAGAAGCAAUAAAACAAUUAGGUGAUAAUGUGAAAGAACAGUCAAAAGUAUUUGCAGCCCUUGCUCCUUUGCAAACCCCCGGUGGACGGGUAUCGACACCGCAAUAUCGUUGUUUUCGAUGUGGUGUUGCGGGACACACUAGACGGAACUGCAAAAUAGAAUCUGUGUGGUGCCAAAAUUGUCAAACAAAUACUCACAGCACUUCAGCAUGCCGCCGAAAUGCGUCGGGAAACGGCCGGAGCAGCGGGAGGAGCCGCCCCGCGACGACACAAAAAGUGGCUUUUACGACAACGGCAGCGACGGCAACAGCACCAGCACCAGCUGCGACGAAUCCCUUUUUCUCCGACCAGCCACCAGAGGGAGCCUCGGCCUGGAUUUGGCAACCGCAGUCGAUGUGACUUUAUUGGAUUCGAGACCCACCAGGAUAAAAACAGGACUUAUUGGACCAGUUAUUGUUAAUAAGGAACCUGUGGGAGCUUUGUUAAUAGGGAGAUCGUCUGCCACCAUGAAUGGAUUACAAAUAUUAACUGGACUUAUUGACAAGGAUUACUUUGGGGAAAUACAAAUUAUGGUUUCUGCAAUGUUUCCUCCAAUUCAUGUGCCGAAAGGCACAAAAAUAGCACAGUUGAUCCCAUUGCCUCAUCUUGCUGAAUCAUUAGCAUCGGAAUCUGCAAAGCAUCGAGGACUGGGAGCAUUUGGCUCCACGGGAAAAGUGGCUUUGUUGACACUUGGUAUGCGACACAGACCACGACAAAAAGUCACUGUGUGUUUAAAGGAUGAGAAAAUACAGAUUGAGGCAUUGUUGGACACUGGUGCUGAUGUAUCUAUAAUCAGCACAAAGGAUUGGCCCUCACAUUGGCCUACAUUUGAGUCUAAUGCCACAGUUUCGGGAGUAGGAGGUAUGACUCUUGCUCGUCGGUCACCAGUGCUACAAUGGACAAUAGGUGAUAAGGUGGUACAAUGCAGUGUUUCCAUCUUAUCACUACCUGAAGGAGUACAAGCGCUGGUAGGGCGAGAUAUCCUUGCCCAAAUGGGAGCAAUUCUCACGACAGAUCAUCAAAAUUUUUAGGUGUGGCCAUUGCUUGGACUUUCCCGAUCCCACUUAAAUGGAAAACUGAUGAACCUGUAUGGGUUGAGCAGUGGCCACUAAAACGGGAAAGUCUUUUACAUGCUCAUAAAUUAGUACAGGAACAGUAUCAACAAGGGCAUUUGAGACUGUCAACAAGCCCUUGGAAUACUCCGAUUUUUGUGAUUCCCAAAAAAUCAGGGAAAUACCGUUUGCUACAUGACUUACGAGCAGUUAAUAAUCAGAUGUGUGCUAUGGGAGCACUGCAACCUGGAUUACCUAAUCCUGCUAUGAUACCAGAAGGGUGGAAAUUACUAAUUGUGGAUCUCAAG